GGGAGUUACUUCCUUCCGCAUUACAUAAUAUUAUCUGAUGCUUAGUUACUCCUGAACAAAUGUGUUUGUUCAGUCGCUUUUUGUCCAUGUAAUCAACCAUAUCUGCCUCGAUUUGAUUAAACAAGUUGCAGCGGCAUAAAAUUCAGCGACUGACUGCGUCGUGCCUGGCUGCCUGUUACUCACCCAGAAAAUGACAUGCUCUGCAUUUGCCAGAAAGGCUGCACGUGGGGUUGGAGAAGAGGGUCUGUGCGGCACCGGUGACACAGGCGUGGCUACCGAUUAAGUGAGGUCUUUGCUGACUUGUCCACUCAUCCGGAAACAAGAGCAAGAAAGGACAUAGGAACUCAGUUCCCUGAAGACAAGAGGCUCCAUUUCAAGGAACCAGACCAGGAUUCAUCUUUGUCUAUGGUUUCUAAUCGGAAAGUUCCCAUUUGCAGUAACUACCUGACAUCUUGUGGGUCACAUAAACCUUUUUGUUUGGGCAUCUGAUUUGGUACUCCAAAGAUUUGCAUGCAAACAUAUCUUAGGCCGUAAUGUCGGGAGUCAAACUACCUUGACUUUCAAAUAUUGGUCCUGCACUUGAGGAAACUGUGGACAGUGAAAUCUCUCUUUAAUGUCACAGUUUCCUUUUAUGUAAAAUGAGACCAAUAAUGGAAGAUUGAAUGAAGUGCAUAUGUACAUAAAACCUUCAGGCUAGUGCAUGGCACUUAGAAAGCAUUCAACAGACGUUCAUGUUGUACCACAUCUUCUUUUUUUUUAAUGUUUAUUUAUUUUUGACAGACAGAGCGUGAGCGGGGGAGGGGCAGACAGAGAGGGAGACACAGAAUCCAAAGCAGGCUCCAGGCUCCGAGCUGUCAGCACAGAGCCCGACGUGGGGCUUGAACUCACGGACCGUGACAUCAUGACCCGAGCCGAAGUCGGACACUCAACUGACUGAGCCACCUGGGCGUCCCAUACCACAUCUUCUUUAUCGAUUCAUCCAUCGAUGGACAUUUGGGCUCUUUCAAUACUUUAGCUACUGUCAAUAGUGCUGCUAUAAACAUGGGCGUGCAUGUGCCCCUUCGAAACAGCACACCUGUCUCCCUUGGAUAAAUGCCUAGUAGUGCAAUUGCUGGGUCGUAGGGUCGUUCCAUUUUUAGUUUUCUGAGGAACCUCCAUCCUGUUUUCCAGAGUGGCUGCACCAGCUUGCAUUCCCACCAACAAUGCCAAAGAGAUCCUCUUUCUCCACAUCCUCGCCAGCAUCUGUUGUUGCCUGAGUUGUUAAUGUUAGCCAUUCUGACAGGUGUACAGCCCUACUUUCUAAUAAAAUGCUUCCAUUGGCUUGAUAUCUCA
rnacentral:lncRNA from 1 species